rnacentral:rRNA from 1 species
CGCAAGGUUAAAACUCAAAUGAAUUGACGGGGGCCCGCACAAGCGGUGGAGCAUGUGGUUUAAUUCGAUGCAACGCGAAGAACCUUACCUACUCUUGACAUCCAGAGAACUUAGCAGAGAUGCUUUGGUGCCUUCGGGAACUCUGAGACAGGUGCUGCAUGGCUGUCGUCAGCUCGUGUUGUGAAAUGUUGGGUUAAGUCCCGCAACGAGCGCAACCCUUAUCCUUUGUUGCCAGCGGUUAGGCCGGGAACUCAAAGGAGACUGCCAGUGAUAAACUGGAGGAAGGUGGGGAUGACGUCAAGUCAUCAUGGCCCUUACGAGCAGGGCUACACACGUGCUACAAUGGCGCAUACAAAGAGAAGCGACCUCGCGAGAGCAAGCGGACCUCAUAAAGUGCGUCGUAGUCCGGAUUGGAGUCUGCAACUCGACUCCAUGAAGUCGGAAUCGCUAGUAAUCGUGGAUCAGAAUGCCACGGUGAAUACGUUCCC